AGUGAACGCUGGCGGUAGGCCUAACACAUGCAAGUCGAACGGCAGCACAGUAAGAGCUUGCUCUUACGGGUGGCGAGUGGCGGACGGGUGAGGAGUACAUCGGAAUCUACUUUUUCGUGGGGGAUAACGUAGGGAAACUUACGCUAAUACCGCAUACGACCUACGGGUGAAAGCAGGGGAUCUUCGGACCUUGCGCGAUUGAAUGAGCCGAUGUCGGAUUAGCUAGUUGGCGGGGUAAAGGCCCACCAAGGCGACGAUCCGUAGCUGGUCUGAGAGGAUGAUCAGCCACACUGGAACUGAGACACGGUCCAGACUCCUACGGGAGGCAGCAGUGGGGAAUAUUGGACAAUGGGCGCAAGCCUGAUCCAGCCAUACCGCGUGGGUGAAGAAGGCCUUCGGGUUUUAAAGCCCUUUUGUUGGGAAAGAAAAGCAGCAGGUUAAUACCCCGCUGUUCUGACGGUACCCAAAGAAUAAGCACCGGCUAACUUCGUG
rnacentral:rRNA from 1 species